rnacentral:rRNA from 1 species
GCUGCCCUCUUUCUUCGUGCCUAAUACAUGCAAGUCGAGCGAACAGAUGAGGAGCUUGCUCCUCUGACGUUAGCGGCGGACGGGUGAGUAACACGUGGAUAACCUACCUAUAAGACUGGGAUAACUUCGGGAAACCGGAGCUAAUACCGGAUAAUAUAUUGAACCGCAUGGUUCAAUAGUGAAAGACGGUUUUGCUGUCACUUAUAGAUGGAUCCGCGCCGCAUUAGCUAGUUGGUAAGGUAACGGCUUACCAAGGCAACGAUGCGUAGCCGACCUGAGAGGGUGAUCGGCCACACUGGAACUGAGACACGGUCCAGACUCCUACGGGAGGCAGCAGUAGGGAAUCUUCCGCAAUGGGCGAAAGCCUGACGGAGCAACGCCGCGUGAGUGAUGAAGGUCUUCGGAUCGUAAAACUCUGUUAUUAGGGAAGAACAAAUGUGUAAGUAACUAUGCACGUCUUGACGGUACCUAAUCAGAAAGCCACGGCUAACUACGUG